CACAGCGAUCCUGCGUCAGCCUCUAGAGUGCAGGGAUCACAGGUGUGUGCUACCAUGCCUGGACCAUAUCAUAUCUUAUCAGUUGUGCAAGUUACCACAAGACAUUAAGGACACACGAGGACUCAGGAAGUGUAUCAUCCACGAAGGCUUCUGAAAAGAUAACAUGGUUGAAAGGAAUUGCUUAAAUGAAAAAUAAAUUAAAAUAAAGAGAACUUCUAUAGACAUGGAAGGAUCAAGGAUGAACAGUAGAACAUGUUCCACAUGGAGAAGGGUGGAAAGUCGCAGUGUUCAGAAUUUUGAUGAUCCAAGUGAAGAGUUGUUUAAACAGAGUUGGUGAAAGUCAUAGAUGAAGAAGACAGGAUGUGCAGGCUCCGGUUGGCUUCUGCUUCCUUCAUGCAGAAAUGCUUGCUAAGAAUUUUACCGGGAGAGGAUUGUCAGAAGGCUACAGCUGGCUUUGUGGUUGGAUGAGACUGAAAAAAAAAAAAAAAUCACCACAAUGGCCAAGAAGACAUAGAAGAAAUGAAGAAGAACUGAGAAGAGACUUACUGGGUCUCUUGCUGACCCUUCUUUAAUGGCCACCUAGGACCAAGCCACAGUCCUUUCUCACCUGGGAUCCCACUGUGUUGUGAUUUGGGACUGUCAACAACAUUGCUAGAAGAAUUUGCUGAAUUAAGGACAUCAUAAUGAGAUAAGCCAUUCAGAUUGGAAAAGAAGAAGUAUAACUCUUCUCAGAUGAUGUGAUCUUCUACAGUAUGUGGAAAAUUCUAAAAGAUCCACUCUGGGGAACUGGAACUAAGUAAUGAGUUCAGCAAGGGUGCACGACAUGGUACAUAGAGAAAAAUCAAUUGCAUUUAUAUAUACUUGGCAAUGAACACAAAGAAAAAACUAAAUUGAUACCAAGAAAAUGACUUUGUUUCUUUUUUUUAAAUAUUGCAUU